rnacentral:rRNA from 1 species
AUUGAACGCUGGCGGCAGGCCUAACACAUGCAAGUCGAACGGUAACAGGAAGAAGCUUGCUUCUUUGCUGACGAGUGGCGGACGGGUGAGUAAUGUCUGGGAAACUGCCUGAUGGAGGGGGAUAACUACUGGAAACGGUAGCUAAUACCGCAUAACGUCGCAAGACCAAAGAGGGGGACCUUCGGGCCUCUUGCCAUCGGAUGUGCCCAGAUGGGAUUAGCUAGUAGGUGGGGUAACGGCUCACCUAGGCGACGAUCCCUAGCUGGUCUGAGAGGAUGACCAGCCACCCUGGAACUGAGACGCGGUCCAGACUCCUACGGGAGGCAGCAGUGGGGAAUAUUGCACAAUGGGCGCAAGCCUGAUGCAGCCAUGCCGCGUGUAUGAAGAAGGCCUUCGGGUUGUAAAGUACUUUCAGCGGGGAGGAAGGGAGUAAAGUUAAUACCUUUGCUCAUUGACGUUACCCGCAGAAGAAGCAGCGGCUAACUCCGUG